CAAACAUAAGUGGGACCGGACUUUAUUUGUGACCUGAAAACAGAUCUGGAUGCAUACUCUUAUAUCUGGAGUGUGAGGAGUCAUUUCAGGUGAACUGGUCUGAUCAGUGGCUGUAGCAGUACCUGGUGUGCGUGAACCGGCUGGUAGGGGCAAACCUCUGGCUGUUCUGGAGUGUGGGUCAAAGAAACCGUAUCUGCCUGACUUGGUUCUGAACACUGCGAUACACAAGAGUCUCAUCAACAGCAGAGCGUACUUCACAUCUGACAACAAGCAGCUGAGUCCUGACUCCAGGUCCAGAAAGUUGUCCACAGCUCCAGGUAAAGGUUCUCCUAAUGUGCCGUACCUUGAAAGCUGAGUCAUGUCUGCAUGGUGUGUAGUGCUGCGUGCAGGAACUUCAUCAGUGAGCUCGUCGGUGGUCAGAUAGAUGUGAUCGGUGACUCGUUUCCUGGUCUCUCUAUACAUCGUGUUACCUUUAUCCAAAACAUGGUCCAGGUCUGCUCCGGUGAUGCUUUCAUUCUCAUGGAGGAAUGCAAGAAAGGUCAGUGAGUUACAGGUGCACUGCCGAUUUCUGGAUCUGCCGUAUCUGAUUGAAGCCUGGCUGUGGGAUGCACGGACAUGUUGUUCAGAAGGCUGAUCUUCAGGGUCUACACGGUCUGCAUUAGAAGGUCCUGCUGUACAUGGAUCCUCACUGUGACGUCCACUCUUUACUGCGUCUGCAUAUGAUACCUGUGACUCACUUGGAACUCCCUGUUUCACACUUCCAGGAUGAGACUCUGCAGACAUCUUUACCGCUCCACUGCUCUCAGGACCAACACAUUCUGCUCCGUCAGUCGUUGUUGCACAGGGAUUCUCUUUGGUCCGCUGCCAGCGCAGGCUCUGAGCUUGUGACCUCUUACUCUUUCUUGGCAUUGUUGUGUGUCAAAACCAAAAAUGUUAUUGUUUUACUUGUAUUGUACACAACCAAGGUACUAAACACAAUAUUAAAGGUAAAAUAGUAUUAUUAACAAAGCGGGAUGUAAGGAUAAAUUAAACGUAUGUCUGCUUUUUGGUAACACUUAGCAGUUUAAAUGCUUCAAAACUAUACUAUUUGUUAUGAUAUACCAAAAGCCAUUUCAGUAUCCAAGUAAAUGACUUUGUAGAAAAUCCCAGCCAGGAAAAUGUGAUGUCAAACGUAACACUAUAAAGAGAUCAAUAUCAAUGCUCAAAUUUGACUGUUCCUGAAAUACUAUAUUAUUUAUGUUUUGGUGUAUGUCAAAAAAUCUAUAUUUGAUUGUCAAAUCCAGUGACAGCAACUUUGAGUAUAUUCCUUAGUCUUAUUAUAUUAAGGCUAUAUCUAAAACCCUAAAUCAAACAAUUUUAGUUCAUAAAUACUGUGAGCAGGUAUAUACUGGAUCUGUGAACUUACUGACAGUAUAUAUUUGUUAAAUAUACUUCUAGAAGAAACCUUGACAAAUCUUUGGAAAUAUUUAUUCAAUAUAAAAUCUAAAGUUUAACACUGGACAACAACCAAAUAAAAAUAGGCUAUUUUAAAUGAUUGUGAGCCACCUAAAUCUCUUUUUAAUAAUGAAAUGUACUUAAUUAAAACUCUUAAGACUUGACAAAGUUAGAAAUGACUCUGAUAAAAAAGUUAAAAUGAUUUACUGAGGGAACCAAAUCUACAGUGCAGAAAUGGUAUGUAGUACAAUUCUAGACGCACUAGGACGAAAAUAUUCUGUUCACUUCAAAGUUUUGUGGAAUAUGUAAAUUUAAUUACACAUUUUGCACCAAUCCACAACCAGUAGUCCAAUGCCAGAUCUCUUCUGAUCCUUAACUGUUUGCACUUACCAGCAAGGAAUAUCUUCUAUAAUUAUCUAAUAUUAUUACUAUGAUAUGGUUUAUAUUCAAAUCGGGAACAGUUGUCGUGGCAGCUGAAUCCUUCUGAAGAAUGUUGGGUCUGUAGACAGGAAGCAGCAAUUCCAAAUAAAUCCUUUUCCUCC
ensembl:lncRNA